UAGAUCGUAACAUACAACUAGCGGCGUAUGCAGAGUGAUAAAGCCUGUUCGGCAGUUGGUAUCUGAAUUGUCAAGUUUAGAGCCUAAGUUGUUUCAACGUUUUUAGUAAAGUUUAUUUCUGAAAAAUGAAUAAAGCGCAUAGCUUACUACCUUCAUACUUAGUUAAUUCGUGAAUUAUUCGUAAAUUAUUAAAAAUCCGAAUAAAACUGUCCGAAUACGAUUUGUUUCCAAAAAAUCGGAAUAAUACGUGAAUUUUUGGGUUAAAUUUAUUAUUCGAGAAUAAUUCGCAUAUGCCGAACUAUUCGGCAAAAAAAAGUGCAAAUUUUUUGGAUAAAAUUUCUUUUCGAAUUAUUGUUGAAUUAUUGAAAAACUUAAUGAACUUCCGAAAUAUGUGGAUCAUGGAAAGAUGAAGAUAGAGACGACAAUAAAAUUUGCUAUUAUACUUUUUUUACUUAAUCUGAAUUAUUUUGUAGUUUUUUUAUAUUUUUAAGAAUUUAUAACUAUGUAUGCUAGUAACAUAAAUCUAGAGAAAAAAGAUUAGUUUAAUAGCCGAAUUUUUGAUCCCAAAUUAUUAAUUGGUGAACGUAUAAUAUCAAUAUGAAUCGCGUAUCUGAAUAAUUGGCAAAUCCCUUUUUUUAAGCUGUAUUUUUCAACGAAUUUAAAAAUUGAGAUGCGAAUUUUAUUCGAAUUAUACCCGUACCGAAUUUUCGCCGAAUCCGAAUUAACUAACUAUGAAUACCUUUCUCUUAAU
rnacentral:lncRNA from 1 species